AGCACACAAAGCUUCGUCAAGAAUCAAGACUUCAACGCAAGGCAUCCCCUUGGUUAAAUGGAUUCCAACUUGGACUCCAAGACCACGCUCUUCCGUUCAGGACUUUAAAAAGGAAAACACUCUCAGCACAUCAUCACAACAAAGAAGGGAACAUGUCGUUGGGUUGCUUGCUGAGGCAUUUAUUCGAACAGGUGGUGGGCACCUCAAAGGCAUGGCAAAGGGGCUUACUUCGGGGACUCCAAGGCUUUUUCCAGCGAGGGGAGGUGAAGUUGUUCCUCCUUGCGUCUCUGUAGAUCCGUUACUGUGGACAGGUGUCAAGA